rnacentral:rRNA from 1 species
GUGUCAGCAGCCGCGGUAAUACAGAGGGUGCAAGCGUUAAUCGGAAUUACUGGGCGUAAAGCGAGCGUAGGUGGCUUGAUAAGUCAGAUGUGAAAUCCCCGGGCUUAACCUGGGAACUGCAUCUGAUACUGUUGGGCUAGAGUAGGUGAGAGGGAGGUAGAAUUUCAGGUGUAGCGGUGAAAUGCGUAGAGAUCUGAAGGAAUACCGAUGGCGAAGGCAGCCUCCUGGCAUCAUACUGACACUGAGGUUCGAAAGCGUGGGUAGCAAAC